UACGGAGGGUGCGAACGUUGUUCGGAAUCACUGGGCGUAAAGGGCGCGUAGGCGGACUUGUAAGUCGGGAGUGAAAACUCGGGGCUCAACCCCGAGCCUGCUUCCGAAACUGCGAGUCUUGAGGACCGGAGAGGAAAGUGGAAUUCCUAGUGUAGCGGUGGAAUGCGUAGAUAUUAGGAAGAACACCAGUGGCGAAGGCGACUUCUGGACGGUUCCUGACGCUGAGGCGCGAAAGCUAGGGGAGCAACAGG
rnacentral:rRNA from 1 species